GCAACUGGUUUCAUCCAAAUCCAACAUCUAAGUAAGGAGUUAUACCCGUUUUACUUCAACCUGUCAGUUUGUCAACUGAGGGGCAGUUUCUACUUUGUUUUCUUAGGGGCAUUUUAGUCAUUUCACCUCACCCAAAUUUCGUCUAGACACCAGAUUUAGCCCCCAAUUCAUCAAAAUAUAAUCCUUUUCUCAAAUUUUCUCUCAAGAACACCCCUUAGGGUUUCAAAUAAAAAUUCCAAAUAACUCAAGAUUCAACCGUGGGUUUUGGAAGAUAAUUAGAGAUUUGGAAUCCCCACAUCGUAGACUUCGAGGAUCAUCCCUCAAUUUCUUAAAUAGAGGUACGCGGGGUUUUCCUAAAUUCUCAUGGGUAUAGAAAUCAUGUUUUAAGAAAGGGGUUUUUAAAUUCAAGUACAUAUUCAUGUUUUAGAAGCUUUAUAUGAUAUUGUUUUAGUCUUUUGGCUUUCCCCCGAAGUGACUUAAAAAUUAUAUGUAUAUAUAUAUAUAUGUGUUUUGCCUUGAAAUAUGAAUUGAGAGCACAAUUUACAUGAAAUUCCUCUCUUGAUGUAAUUUUCCCAUGUUUCACAUGAUAUAGAUUGUUUUGAAAUAAGUUUUGAAAAAUCAUGAUAUGAAAUGCUUUGACUUUGCUAUGUUUCGAAUACGAUUUUGAACAUGAAAGGGAGGGUUGUAAAUGUUGAAUAUACAUAUAAUGAAAGAGUGCAUAAUUUUGCCAAAAGCACAUGACCACCAUAUGUUUGAUGAAAGUUUUUGCAUGGUUUUGACUUGAGUUUUGGAACAUGAAAUCUUUUAUGCAAAUUACAUGUUUGGGUGGUCUGAAACUACACUUUUGUGAAAGAUCAUGCUUAAUGCAUUAUGGCUCAGAAAUAGGACUUGCAAAUCUUGGUACGACGAUACCAACUCAGACAAAUGCUAUAACAGACACAGACUAGUUCAGAAAUCAGAUUUUAUCAGACUUUCAUGAUUAAGAAAUUUCAGAAUGAUACAUGUUCAGAAAAGGUUAAAAAUUGGGCAUAAAGAGGUGUUAGGUGGUCCCCGAACAAGGCGUGAGUUCAAACAACUCAUUGCCCAAAACCGUGAUUUGCCGAUCCGAGUAUAUUAUUAUACGCUGGCUCAAGUGUCGUGUGGCGUAUCAGACUCAGAUACUCCAACCCUUGCGGCACACUUGGGUUGGGGGCUUCCCCGUCGAGUCAAUGGCGGAUUUCAUAUAGCCCAUGGAAUAUCAGACUUGUAGGGGAGUGCCACCUAACUCAGAAGUAAUACAAAGAUCAGAAAUUGUUUUGACAAGAAUGUGUUAUGAUUUUUGAAUAAUGCCCAUGUGUUUUCAGAAGCUAUUUUAUACGUGAUGUGUUGAUGAAAAUUGCUCUCAUCUAUUAUAUAUAUGUUCAAAUACUUUAUUUUGGAUUGCUUCGCGUGCUAGUACAUUUAUGCUGACCCCCCUCCUUCCAGGUUUUGAGACACAGUCUAGGGGUCCAGAUAAACAGUAGAUAUUUCAGAUCGCAGAGCAGAUUGUGCAGGGGUGAGCCUUCUAUAUUCCAGAAGGCCUAUUUACUUUCAGAUAUUUAUCUUUAGUCAUGUUUUGGUCUACUGGGGACCUUGUCCCAUUUUUCAGACAGUUUUAUUUAGUUCAUAGUAAAGAUUUCGCAGACUAAGUCAGACAUUAUUAUUAUCCAGAUAUAUUUUGGAUUUCAAUUUUUCAGUAUUAUGAUCACGUUCAAACUGAUCAUGUUUCCGUAUUAGAUUUCUAUUUCCGCAUUAUCUUUUAUUAUAUGAAUAUUGUGCAUGAUUACCAAAUAGACAGAGGGCGUCCCGGGCCUUCACGGUUCGGAAAUGCUCGUCACGGCCAGGGCCCCGGUUCGGGUCGUGACACAAAUUCUUAUCACCCGGAUCACCACCUUGUUAAGAAUCUGACUUAGAGAACUUCUUGGAUGACGACAAAGCAAAUACAUGGAUGCCUCUGCAGAACAGGCUGCUGUAAAGCUCCACACAGAGUGUGAGAUUCCACCCUCUCAAAAUCUUAGCUAUGUCGAUAAGGAAUCACAAAAGAGACAAUGAAGAUGGAGAAUUUGAUAUCAACUGUUGUGUUACCAUAAUGUUGAAAUGAAUCAGUCGAAACUUUCUACAGUUUGCUCAGACAUCUUGUGUAAACAGCCACGUGCUGACUACACAAUGACUUGUCGAAGCAAGCAAGUAAAUUGUUCAUUCACUAUACAAACAACAACAACAUAUCCAGUGAAAACGCACAAAUGGAGUAUGGGGAAGGUGGAGUGUAAGCAGACCUUACCACUACCUCGGGGAGGUAGAGAGGCUGUUCCGGAGGACAAAUUUUCAUUCACUAUAGUAUCCAUCUUUUGUCUCUACACGUAUAUUAUGCUUUAGGCAAUAGCCAACUCCUGCAAACGGAUAGCUACGCUUUGAGGUGUGAACAUUUGAAGCAGAAAAAGACAUCAUCUCUCCGUACAGAAGUCGCUAAUGUGCUUCAGAAGGUGUUAGCUACAGUAUCGUUUGUGUUUUAUCCGCUGAGUUGAGCUUAAUUGUCUCCUUUCGUGGUACUUUCAUUUCUAUAUUCCCAGAUUACUUGGUUUUUCAGAUCCCGGUGUCUCUUAGCAUACAACACUGAUUAGCGAGUUGUUCAUGCAGACAACAACUUUCCAGCUGACUAAUGAUUUUCUCAUCGUUAACCAUCCAGGCACUUCAAUCUGAUGAACUUUGUUCAAAAAUGACCUUCCGAAACAUAGCAGAAUGGUUCAUUUUUUUCCUCAAUAGUCAUCUAACUUUGAUUUUGACAAAAGAUCCCAACUUUUCUAACUAUAUAUAAAUAAAUAGAGACUGGAAUAUGGAUGCAUAAAUUACUCGCCUCUAUCUAUGGAGCUAUUGAGGAAUACACAUGAGCUUACAACAAGAUAUUC
rnacentral:lncRNA from 1 species